UACAACCGGUUCACGUACGAUCAGCGAAGUUAAACAUCGUGGAGCCUGGUCAGUACCUGGUUGGGCGACCGCUUGAGAAUAACGGUUGCCGUAA